rnacentral:rRNA from 1 species
UACAGAGGGUGCAAACGUUGCUCGGAAUCACUGGGCGUAAAGCGCGUGUAGGCGGGCCGGAAAGUCAGAUGUGAAAGCCCUGGGCUCAACCUAGGAAUUGCAUUUGAAACUCCCGGUCUAGAGUGGUGGAGAGGGAAGCGGAAUUCCUGGUGUAGAGGUGAAAUUCGUAGAUAUCAGGAGGAACACCGGUGGCGAAGGCGGCUUCCUGGACACUUACUGACGCUGAGAUGCGAAAGCGUGGGUAGCAAACAGG